GGGGUUGGUCCUUUGCGCAUAUCCAAGUGUGACGUAAUUCCGAGUGGUAGCACAUGUGUCGCCCAUGUGCUUUUGACCGAGUUGCAUUCGAUGUUGAUUUGCGACUCUGCGGUGCUUCAGAUAUCGAAUCUCCGGCCAGUGCUGGUGUCCAGUUGUAUCCAUUGUUGUUGGCUGUGCCUUCCUCUUCCUGGUGACCCUGGUCUCCCCAAUCAACUGACGAGCCAGUUCCUGUCUGUAACUGAUCUGUAUGGAUGAAAAAUUAAUUUGCAACUAAAUGCACAUAAUUGAUGUCCGUGUGGAUAGCUUGUGAUUCGGAGACUCCUUCAUAAGCAAAAAGGAGUUGACAAUGGCGGUAUCCAGCAGGAAGUAGAAAAGGUACUUCCACCAUUUGAGUGACUUCCUACUGCAGGAGUACUGCAUCCUGAGCUGAUCCGCCCUAUCGACCGCAUUCAUACGCGAACCGUAGAGCUGACCUGCUUCAGGUGCCAGGGAGACAUGUGUUGUGCCGUCUUUCUUCUUCCGGCUUACCUCACUAAGUUUUGUGGCGUCUACAUUCGUGUAUAAGAAAUUUACCUGAAGAAAAAAUGUUGAAAACUAGAAAUGUUUUGCCUUGUUCAAUCAACAGCACUAGCCAAAACACUACACUGAUAUAACACUUUGAGAUGUUAUCAGAUAAUUUAUUUGACAGAGUUUCCUCUGACCUCGACACCAGCUAAAGACAUUAUGAUAGUCAGAAAAUAAACAACGAGGACUUUUUCCCUGAUGAUUUGUUCAACUUUCCAUCAAUAAAGCAUUAUCAGUGUGUUAGAUAUA